rnacentral:lncRNA from 1 species
AGAAAUUAAUGCGGUGAAUCUUUAUAUCUAAUGAAUCAUUGAUGGAAAAGACCUACGGGCCAUCUUUACUUAAUAUAAGUAAAUGUAUAAACAAAUCAAUGAGCAACUUAAGUCUAAGGGUGUGGUCUUCUGUUCCUGAGGAACAAGUAAGUAGUCAUGCAUCAUAAGUAUGUAGUGAACGUGCCUAGGAUACCCUGGAUCUGGAAGGAUCGAUACUGUUAGUUUCCCACACAUUAAAUGAUUAGUCAAUAAAGUUAUUACUAUUAUGAUGCGGAUU